rnacentral:rRNA from 1 species
ACACGUAAGGGGCGAGCGUUGUUCGGAAUUAUUGGGCGUAAAGGGCGCGUAGGCGGGAAGCCAAGCCUGAUGUCAAAUACCCCGGCUCAACUGGGGGACUGCAUUGGGAACUGGUUUUCUUGAGUAUAAGAGGGGAUGUUGGAAUUCCAGGUGUAGGGGUGAAAUCUGUAGAUAUCUGGAAGAACACCGGUGGCGAAGGCGAACAUCUGGCUAUAUACUGACGCUGAGGCGCGAAAGCGUGGGGAGCGAACAGGAUUAGAUACCCUGGUAGUCCACGCUGUAAACGAUGUGCACUAGGAGAUGGGUGGUAGCAUUCAUUUCCGCAGCAAACGCAUUAAGUGCACCGCCUGGGGAGUAUGCUCGCAAGGGUGAA